AAUGGGCACAUUGGUUCAGACUGUGUGGUAAGAAUCCUGAACCUAAAAUUUAUUAGCAGUGAGAAGUACACACUAGCAGAAGCUACAUACAACAGCCUAACUUGUUUUUUUAACCCUGAGGGUUUUUUUUUUUUUAAAGACUCAUGCUAUGUGUAUGUGUGUCUGAACAUGGGUAUGCACAAGUUGAGGUGUCCCCGGGCCAGAGGUGUUAGAUCCCUCUGAAUCUGGGUACAGGAAGUUGUGAACUUCAUGAUGUGGGUGCUAAGAACUAAAUUUAGGUGGGUCCUCUGCAAGAAUAGUGCCUGCUUUUAGAAACAGUGCGAGCCCAGUUUCUCAAUGUUUAACACUAUCUCUUUGCUCGUUAAACUGGAAAUCCCAUUCAUUAAUAUUGACCAGUCAUCAUAAGUAUUGGAAAAUUAAAUUAUUGGUGUUUUU
rnacentral:lncRNA from 1 species